rnacentral:rRNA from 1 species
CCUACGGGUGGCAGCAGUGAGGAAUAUUGGUCAAUGGACGAGAGUCUGAACCAGCCAAGUAGCGUGAAGGAUGACUGCCCUAUGGGUUGUAAACUUCUUUUAUAUGGGAAUAAAACGUUCCACGUGUGGCAUUUUGUAUGUACCAUAUGAAUAAGGAUCGGCUAACUCCGUGCCAGCAGCCGCGGUAAUACGGAGGAUCCGAGCGUUAUCCGGAUUUAUUGGGUUUAAAGGGAGCGUAGGUGGAUUGUUAAGUCAGUUGUGAAAGUCUGGGGCUCAACCGUAAAAUUGCAGUUGAAACUGGCAGGCUUGAGUAGAGUAGAGGUGGGCGGAAUUCGUGGUGUAGCGGUGAAAUGCUUAGAGAUCACGAAGAACUCCGAUUGCGAAGGCAGUUCACUGGACUGCAACUGACACUGAGGCUCGAAAGUGUGGGUAUCAAACAGGAUUAGAUACCCGAGUAGUC